AUAUAAGAUUUGAUAUCUAAAUUUUAAUUAAUUUAAUUUAAUUAGAAAAACGAAAUACAUUAUUAAUUUCCAAAAAAGUAACCAAUUAAAUCAACAAAUUAUAUUUGAUAUCUAAAUUAUCAUAUUAAUUUUUUAUUAAUUAUUAUAGUUCACUUCUCAUCUUUAUAUGAUUCUAUUUUUGCAGAAAAAUAAUAUCAUCAUUAUAAAAAAAUAAUUAGAGUUUUUUCGCAUAUGCCAUGAUUUGAAUUUUUAAAAACAAAUAUAAACUGUUCAAUAGAUGAAAAAUAUUAUAACGGGUGAAAAAUAGAUUUAAGAAAACUUUCUACUGAGUAACGGGUCAUAAUUUGAAAUAUUUAUAUUCAAUUUCAUACAUAUUAUAUUG
rnacentral:sRNA from 1 species